AAAGAAAUAAAUGAUGCAAGAACGACUCUUGUGUUCAGGCACUAAUAUGAAUACAAAGUUUAUUAAAAAAAUGUCACAAGUUUCACUUACAAUCAGUUAUCCGCCUAAAAUUGAAAUCUGUAUUACCGAACCACCCUUUUUUAGUUAAAAUUUGUUAUUUUAUGCUAACGUCCCAAGACUAAAUUUCUAAAUUCUAAUGACAUAGUGCUCUUUUUUCAAAGAUUAAAACUGGUUUAGUUAUAAAUGUAACAAUUAACUAACAUUUUCCAAAACUUAGGUCAAUAGGUGAUAAUAUUGUGAGAGAUUGAACAAAACCAAAAACGAGAACCGGCAAUUGAAAGAGCAAACGCGCAACAAUUUCAAUUAUUAUUACACGGUUAAGUUACGUGAUGGGAUAACAAACUUUGGUGAAAGAAGCCUCAUUAAAUUUAAUCAAAUGAUUGAAAAUGUAACGAACAGUUAAAAAAAAAAAACAAUGGUAAAAUAUGAUAAAAACUGAUAGGUAACUUGUCAAUUUCCUUAAUGUAUGUAAUAUGUAAUAACUAACACCCUAUUAUGCACAAGGCAAUGACCAAGUAAAAGUAGUCUUCUUAUUAAUUAGCUCCUUUAUGCAUGUUUGGUAUGACUUAUUUAAUAAUAAUAAGUGUUUAUUUAAUCCCGUAAACUCUUAUUAAAAUUUUUGUUGUUGUUUAACUAUUUUCCAA
rnacentral:lncRNA from 1 species